GACGAACGCUGGCGGCGUGCCUAAUACAUGCAAGUAGAACGCUGAAGGAGGAGCUUGCUUCUCUGGAUGAGUUGCGAACGGGUGAGUAACGCGUAGGUAACCUGCCUGGUAGCGGGGGAUAACUAUUGGAAACGAUAGCUAAUACCGCAUAAGAGUAGAUGUUGCAUGACAUUUGCUUAAAAGGUGCAAUUGCAUCACUACCAGAUGGACCUGCGUUGUAUUAGCUAGUUGGUGGGGUAACGGCUCACCAAGGCGACGAUACAUAGCCGACCUGCGAGGGUGAUCGGCCACACUGGGACUGAGACACGGCCCAGACUCCUACGGGAGGCAGCAGUAGGGAAUCUUCGGCAAUGGACGGAAGUCUGACCGAGCAACGCCGCGUGAGUGAAGAAGGGUUUCGGAGCGGAAAGCUCUGUUGUAAGAGAAGAACGAGUGUGAGAGUUGAAAGUUCACACUGUGACGGUAUCUUACCAGAAAGGGACGGCUAACUACGUG
rnacentral:rRNA from 1 species